rnacentral:rRNA from 1 species
AUGGAUCGCGACGAGGAGAAGGGCCACGGCGACAGAUCGCUGCUCUUCAUAGGCGACGAGGACGACGACCUCGGCGUGGACCGGGAUGGCGGCUCGCCACCCUCGUCGGACUGCGCGGGAUCCUCCUUCUCCGACAGGAGCGACGACGGCGGUGACGUUGACGGUGCCGACGACGGCACUGGCACCGGCAGCGGUAGCGGCAGCGGCAGCGGCAGCGACGCCGACGGCGACAAGGAACGCGCGCCCAACGUCGCCAGGCAGCAGGCCACGUGGCCGCAGAGUUACAGGCAGUCGAUCGACAUGUUGAGCGCCGUCCAGUCGCCGUCGGUGAGCACCAUCAUGGCGGCCAGCCCGAGCAUCACCAAGUUGGGGAGCUCUUUCCUCAAGGCCGGAAGCUCCUUCUUCCUCAAGAAGGGCGCCACCGAGGGCUCGCUACCCCUCACCCGGCCAUUGCUGCCGCCCUCUCUAUCGCAGCUGUCGCAGCAGCAGCAGCCCGCAGGGCGGCCGUCGACGGACAGCUUGCAGCCGCGGCCACCGGCUCCGCAGCCACCCGCGGUGCAGCAGAGGCCCUCUGCGGCGUGCCUGAAAUCCAACUACAUUGAGCUCCCACCGCCGUCCUCCAAGUGCAGCAGUGGACAGUCUAUCAUCAACGGCCUCAAUGUCCUGUGCGGUGUUGGAAUUCUCACAACGUGUUUCGGAAUCAAACAAGCAGGAUGGUUAAGCCUCCUCCUCCUUCCCUUGUUGGGAGCCUGUUCAUGCUACACCGGCUUGCUUCUCAAGAGAUGCAUAGACAGCUCGCCGACCAUCGAAACGUACCCUGAUAUCGGACGAGCCGCUUUCGGUACCCCGGGUCGAAUAUUUGUAUCGGUUGUCCUUUAUCUAGAGCUCUAUGCAUGCUGCGUGGAGUACAUCACACUGCUAGGAGACAGCUUGUCUUCAGUUUUUCCUUCUGCGCAUUUAGCUUUUACCGGCAUCUACUUGAACUCUCAUAACCUGUUUGCCAUAUCAAUGGCUUUGGCAAUUCUCCCAUCAGUCUGGCUCAGGAACCUCAGUCUCCUCUCCUAUCUUUCUGCCGGAGGCGUGGUUGCAACGAUUACAGUCGUUGUGUGCCUGUUUUGGGUUGGUAUUGGCGAUGGAGUUGGGUUCCACCCUUCUGGUAGUGCACUGAACCUGACCCACCUUCCACUGGCACUUGGCUUGUAUGGAUACUGCUUCUCAGGGCACUCGGUUUUCCCAAAUAUAUACUCAUCAAUGAAGGAGCGCUCGCAGUUCCCUUUUGUCCUCGUGUUCUGCUUUAUAGUGGUCACAAUUGUGUACUCUGGGGUCGCGGCCACAGGGUUUCUGAUGUUCGGCGAGUCCACAAUGUCGCAAUUCACACUGAACAUGCCACAGCAGUAUGUUCCCUCUAAAAUCGCCAUUUGGAUGACGAUUGUGAACCCAUACACCAAAUACGCCUUGACGAUGACACCGGUCGCCUUGUCGAUAGAGGAGGCUCUGCCUAAGAUGAUGCGAAAUUAUGUUGCAGGAAUGUGUGUUAGGACAGCUCUUGUCCUCUCGACUGUCGUCGUGGCUCUAUCUUUUCCAUACUUUGCCUUGGUGAUGGCAUUGCUUGGAUCUGUCUUCACAAUGCUAGUGGCCCUGAUCCUCCCUUGUGCAUGCUACCUCUCCAUCAAGCGGGACUUAGUACUUUUGUGGGAGGUGGUUUUGUGCAUAACAAUCAUAUUGAUUGGCUUCGGUUGCGCGUGCGUUGGAUCAUACACCUCGAUUAACCAGAUGAUAGGCGGCAGUUAG